UUGAGUUUGAUGAUGGCUCUGAUUGAACGCUAUCCUAAUGCUUGACACAUGCUAAUCGUACGUUAAACAUAAUAUUGUUUAAAGUGGUGUACAGGUGAGUAUAUGGUAUUUUGGCUACCUUUUAGCAAGGGAAAGAUCCCUUAUAAAAAAAAAGAAACUUUUAACAAUAAAGAGUUUUGCUUUGAGAUGUUAAUAAAUACCUCGGGUAAGUAGUAGAAAAGGUAAUGUCUUAACUAGCUUAAACCCCGUAGUCGUGACUGAGAGGUCGAUCGACCACAUUGGGUCUGAAAAAACCCCAAUACGUAUAGUACAGCAGUGAGGAAUAUUGGUCAAUAGCCUAACGGCUGAACCAGCAAUUUGGGGGAAUGUAUAGUCUAAUCUAAUUGUCAUUUAAUUUAUUAAAUGCAAUAUCGACUACGUCGAAUAAAGUUCUAGAUAGAAUAAUGAUAGUGACAAUUUUCUAUCUAUAUGUCUUGACCAAAUCACGUGCCAGCAGUCGCGGUAAUACGUGGAAGACUAGUGUUAUUCAUCUUUAUUAGGUUUAAAGGGUACCUAGACGGUAUAUUUAGCCCAAAAAAGGGGACGUGUAUACUAGAGUUUUAUAUGAGGAGGGGAGAACUUUUGGAGUAGAGAUAAAAUUCUGUGAUAACAAGAGGACUGGUAUAGGCGAAGGCAACCUUUUAUGUAAAAACUGACGUUGAGGGACGAAGGCUUGGGUAACGAUUAGGAUUAGAUACCCUAGUAGUCCAGGCAGAAAAUUAUGAAUGUCAUAGACUUGGCAAAGUCCACUUCUAUAAAUGAAAGUGUAAGCAUUCCACCUCAAGAGUAAUGUGGCAACGCAGGAACUGAAAUCAUUAGACCGUUUCUGAAACCAGUAGUGAAGUAUGUUAUUUAAUUCGAUGAUCCGCGAAAAACCUUACCACAAUUUGAAUACGCAACAAGCGCUGCACGGCUGUCUUCAGUUAAUGUCGUGAGAUUAUGGUUAGUUCCAUUAAUUAACGUAAACCCUUUCUUUAUUUAUUAUAAUAAAGUCGUCUUCCUAUAGUAUGGGAAAAAUGAAUGGGACUAAGACAAGUCAUCAUGGCCUUAAUAUUGUGGGCUAUAGACGUGCCACAUAAGCCUUUACAAAGGGAUGCAAUAUUGUGAAAUGGAGCUAAUCCCCAAAAAAGGAUAUAAAAUGGAUUGUAGUCUGUAACUCGACUACAUGAAAAAGGAAUUACUAGUAAUCGUGAAUCACCACGUCACGGUGGAUUUAAUCUCAGUUGGGUACUAACCACUCGUCAGGCGCUGAAAGGGGUAUGUGCAAUAAGUUUGGUUAUAUAUAUACAUGUAAUAUAUGCAAUUAGGCAUAUAUGUGUUUAUGUAUAAUCUUCGUAUGCGUGACGCUAAUUGGUGUUAAGUCGAAAUAUGGUUCGUGUAGUGGAAAUUGCACGGGAUUUAUUAAAAUUAACAAUAAAUAAAAAUAAUUUUUUUUAUAAUAUUUU
rnacentral:rRNA from 1 species